rnacentral:rRNA from 1 species
UCCAGCUCCAAUAGCGUAUAUUAAAGUUGUUGCAGUUAAAAAGCUCGUAGUCGGAUUUUGGCAUCACGCCGAACUGUCUGCCGAUUGGUAGGUACGGUUAGGCGGGUGCUUCCUUCCGGAGGCUCGUUCCCUUCUUCAUUGAAGGGUUCGUUGGUUCCGGGUCUUUUACUUUGAGAAAAUUAGAGUGUUCAAAGCAGGCCUAUGCUCUGAAUAGGUUAGCAUGGAAUAAUAGAAUAGGACUUUGGUUCUAUUUUGUUGGUUUCUAGGACCGAAGUAAUGAUUAAUAGGGACAGUUGGGGGCAUUCAUAUUCCAUUGUCAGAGGUGAAAUUCUUGGAUUAACGGAAGAUGAACUUCUGCGAAAGCAUCUGCCAAGGAUGUUUUCAUUA